rnacentral:rRNA from 16 species
GCUUACGGCCACAUCAGUGUGAAAGUGUCUGAUCUUCGAAGUUAAACACGCCUGUGCUCGGCUAGUACGUGGAUGGGAAAUCGCCUGAGAACCCCAGGUGCUAUAAGCU